rnacentral:rRNA from 1 species
UACGGGGGGGGGCAAGCGUUGUUCGGAAUUACUGGGCGUAAAGGGCUCGUAGGCGGCCAACUAAGUCCGACGUGAAAUCCCCCGGCUCAACCGGGGAACUGCGUUUGAAACUGUUCGGCUCGAGUCCGGGAGAGGGUAGUGGAAUUCCCAGUGUAGCGGUGAAAUGCGCAGAUAUCAGGAGGAACACCAAUGGCGAAGGCAGCACUCUGGGACGUGACUGACGCUGAGACGCGAAAGCGUGGGGAGCAAACAGG